UACGUAGGGGGCGAGCGUUGUCCGGAUUUAUUGGGCGUAAAGAGCGUGUAGGCGGUUCGGUAAGUCUGUCGUGAAAUCCUGAGGCUCAACCUCGGGCGUGCGAUGGAUACUGCCGGGCUAGAGGGUGGUAGAGGCGAGUGGAAUUCCCGGUGUAGCGGUGAAAUGCGUAGAUAUCGAGAGGAACACCUGCGGCGAAGGCGGGUUGCUGGGCUGACACUGACGCUGAUGCGCGAAAGCUAGGGGAGCGAACGGG
rnacentral:rRNA from 1 species